rnacentral:rRNA from 1 species
AAACUCAAAGGAAUUGAGGGACCCGCACAAGCAGCGGAGCGUGUGGUUUAAUUCGUUGCUACACGAAGAACCUUACCUGGUUUGACAUAUAGGUUGUAGGGAACUGAAAGGGACCGACCCUUCGGGGAGCCUAUACAGGUGUUGCAUGGCUGUCGUCAGCUCGUGUCGUGAGAUGUUCGGUUAAGUCCGCUAACGAGCGCAACCCUCGUCGUAUGUUAUAUGUGUCAUACGAGACUGCCGGUAAAAGCCGGAGGAAGGUGAGGAUGAUGUCAAGUCAGCAUGACCUUUAUAUCCAGGGCUACACACACGCUACAAUGGUCUGUACAAUGGGUAGCCAAGCCGCGAGGCGGAGCCAAUCCUGAAAGCAGGCCUCAGUUCAGAUUGCAGUCUGCAACUCGACUGCAUGAAGCCGGAGUUGCUAGUAACCGCAGGUCAGCAAUACUGCGGUGAAUACGUUCCCGGGUCUU